rnacentral:rRNA from 1 species
CGAGUGGCGGACGGGUGAGUAAUGCGUAGGAAUCUACCUAAUUGUGUGGGAUAGCCUAGGGAAACUUAGGGUAAUACCGCAUAAGCCCUACGGGGGAAAGCAGGGGACUGUUAAAGGCCUUGCGCGAUUAGAUGAGCUUAUGUCGGAUUAGCUAGUUGGUGGGGUAAAGGCCUACCAAGGCGAUGAUCCGUAGCUGGUCUGAGAGGACGACCAGCCACACUGGGACUGAGACACGGCCCAG